GCACUCCCUUUCUGGAAAAAAACACAUCCUGGCGCACGUAAGCUUCUUUGUUCGCGUUGUUUUGGAUGUUCCAGUUUGUGGUUUGCACUAUUAAUCACCCACGCAUAUUUUUGUAGAAAGUGUUGGGCGCCUUCUGCUUGAUACAUUUUGAAGAAAUAUUGUUGACUCAUAGAGCUUGAUAUCAGACUCGUUUGAA